UUUGAACUCAUGAUCCUCCUGCCUCAGCCUCCCAAGCCCCUGGAAUUACAGGAGCACCUCCCUUAAAUUAGAAUGGGGUUGCAGCUGAGGACAAACUGAAGAGGAGGAGAAAGAGGAGUGCACAAGAAAGCAGACAAAAGACUAUCAUCCCUGGGCCUCUUGUUUCUUCCUGUCUGCACGGCACCUUUUGAUAAGCCUGAUCCCAGCAUUAGGAUUUCAUCCCAAGGGAAGGAGGAAAAAACAGAGAGCAUGCAGAAUUCAAAUGAAUUCAUUCAACUUCUCUGCAAUAUCUCCUUGGAAAGACUGAAUCAAAGAAGCAAGCAGAGAUGGCUGAACGUAUUGAGUCUCACCCUUUCUUUUAAUAGCUGUGGUAUGUACACCCAACUUUUAUUUGCAAAGAAUCAAAUGAUGAGAACUUGGAUUCGCUGUUCUUCGAAGGGAAGGAAUUUGGCUUUGGGCCAGAUUUUUCAUAAUGAGACUAGCAAAAAUCAAGAUAACGCUGGUCAAAUAUUAGAUGCAAAUUUCACAAUUCUGAACUGAUGUCUUUUCUUUUUCCCCAUUUAUCAUAUAAAACAUUAAGAGUAAUUUUCAAAGAGAUGACUCCCACUGCUUACUUUACAAGGACCAUUAACAUCCCAACUUUUCACAUGUGCACUGAAUACCCCUGGCCAGAAUGUUUCAUAGAAUCACCUUACUAGACCUUAAGAAUGCAGGAAAAUCAAUCUGUGCCCAGGUAGUUGCAAAAGAUUUCCCAAAUAAAAUGAUAUUUGAGAACAGCUCUGUUGAGAAUAGCUAGUUCAUAAGACAAGGAAAUCAGGUGGAGUUAGAAUUUUCUUUCUGGUAAAAUUCAAUACUGAGGGAAAACAGGUAUAG